AAGGACGACCCGGCCGCCCCGGCAUCUUCCAGGAGCUGUCCGAGGUGCUAGUUCCCGGGCCCCGGCCGGAUCAGGUGGUUGACGGGCACCUCAGGGACAAGAGCCUGGCGUGUAGGUGGAAGGAAGAGACCCAGAGAUGGGAGCCUGGCACCAGCAGCCAGAGCCUCAGCUUCCAUAUCUGUAAACUGGGGAGAAUAACCUCCUAUACCUAUGCCAGGAGCCUCUGGGACGUGCCAGAAAGGAGUGAGAAAGAGCUGAAAGCAGGAGAGUGUGGUGACUGCGGAAGGUCCUUCAGAUCUGCAGGCGCAGGGGGAAAGAGAGAACAGAGGACGGAAGAUCGGAGAUGAUAUUCAGAGAGGCAAGGACACAGAUCCACGGAAAGACGACAUAGGAGGACGAGAAAGAAGAGCUGCAAACAGAGACAGAGACACACGGAGAGAGAGACUGAGAUGAGAGCUCAAGGCCUGGAGAGAAAAAAGACAUGGAAAGAUAAGAUAGAGUCUCACUUUGUCAUCAGACUGG
rnacentral:lncRNA from 10 species